AAAUAUGUCCUUGACAGACACAUGACUGUGGGAAGAUGAGCGUGAACUGCUCAAGGCGGGAGGCGGAGUGGCGGAUGGUUGAGAGGGGACAAGGAGGACAACAGUGGUUGACGUGGCUGAAGAUGCUGGACCAGGAGGAGGCUGGCGGCUUAGAGUAGGCGAGCUGCUUGUACUCAUGUGUUGAUCCCAUAGGCGUCUGUGAUGUGAGAUCAUGUGCCUACGCAAAGCAGUUGUA